rnacentral:rRNA from 1 species
AACGAACGCUGGCGGCAUGCCUAACACAUGCAAGUCGAACGAGACCUUCGGGUCUAGUUGCGCUCAGGGGCGGAACGCGUGGGACGGUGGAGGUAGAUACGGGAUAAUUCCCUGCCGGGGGUGCUAAUAUCGGGAAAUGUCCUCGAACCAAAGAUUUAUCCCCUUUGGAGGGGCCCGGGUUGUUUUAGCCAGUUGGUAGUGUAAAAGCCUACCAAGGCGACGAUCCUUAGCUGGGCUGAGAGCAUGAUCCGCCACACUUGGGCUGAGACACGGCCGAGACUCUUAGGCGAGGGAGCAGUGGGGAAUCUUGGACAACGGGCGAAAGGCUGAGCCAGCAAGGCCGCUAGAGUCCUUAAGGUCUUAGGGAUGUAAAGCAGUUUUACACGGGAUGAUUAUGACGGUACCGGGAGAAUAAGCUCCGGCUAACUCCGUG